rnacentral:rRNA from 1 species
UACGUAGGUGGCAAGCGUUGUCCGGAUUCACUGGGCGUAAAGAGCGCGCAGGCGGUCGUUCAAGUCGCGUGUGAAAGCCCCCGGCUCAACUGGGGAGGGUCACGCGAUACUGAUCGACUCGAAGGCAGGAGAGGGUAGUGGAAUUCCCGGUGUAGUGGUGAAAUGCGCAGAUAUCCGGAAGAACACCAGAGGCGAAGGCGGCCUGCUGGGCCUUGUCUGACGCUGAGGUGCGAAAGCGUGGGGAGCAAACAGG